GUGAAUCAUCGAAUCUUUGAACGCAAAUUGCACUUUCUGGUAUUCCGGAAAGUAUGCCUGUUUGAGGGUCAGUUAAAUAAAAAUCGGUGUUGUUGCUGCCUUUCGUGGUGACGCGUCGGAAUUGGUCGGCUUACCUUCGGGUUAGUGACUUAAAAUUUUUGCAUGAUUUUCGGACGGAUUUAAAUCGCUUAAGGACGGUUGGGGUAUCGAAUGCUUAUUA
rnacentral:misc_RNA from 1 species